UACAGAGGUCUCGAGCGUUAGGCGGAAUCACUGGGCUUAAAGCGUGUGUAGGCGGAUUGCUAAGUACCUUGUGAAAUCCCACGGCUUAACCGUGGAACUGCUUGGUAUACUGGCUGUCUUGAGCCACUUAGGGGCAACCGGAACAAACGGUGGAGCGGUGAAAUGCGUAGAUAUCGUUUGGAACGCCAAUGGUGAAGACAGGUUGCUGGGAGUGUGCUGACGCUGAGACACGAAAGCCAGGGGAGCAAACGGG
rnacentral:rRNA from 1 species